rnacentral:rRNA from 1 species
CAGCCGCCGCGGUAAUACCAGCCCCGCGAGUGGUCGGGACGAUUAUUGGGCUUAAAGCGUCCGUAGCCGGGUUGGGAAGUCCUCCGGGAAAUCUGGCCGCUUAACGGUCAGAAUGCCGGAGGAUACUCCCAGCCUAGGGAGCGGGAGAGGCCGAGGGUAUUCCCGGAGUAGGGGUGAAAUCCUAUAAUCCCGGGAGGACCACCUGUGGCGAAGGCGCUCGGCUGGAACGCGUCCGACGGUGAGGGACGAAGGCCAGGGGAGCAAACCGGAUUAGAUGCCCGGGUAGUCCUGGCUGUAAACGAUGCGGACUUUGUGUCGGACAAGCUAUGAGCUUGUCCGGUGCCGGAGGGAAACCGUUAAGUCCGCCGCCUGGGGAGUACGGCCGCAAGGCUGAAACUUAAAGGAAUUGGCGGG